AGCUCACAUCGACGGGGGGGUUUGGCACCUCGAUGUCGGCUCAUCUCAUCCUGGGGCUGGAGCAGGUCCCAAGGGUUUGGCUGUUCGCCAAUUAAAGAGGUACGUGAGCUGGGUUUAGAACGUCGUGAGACAGUUCGGUCCCUAUCCGCCGUGGGUGUAGGAUAUUUGAGAAGAUCUGACCCUAGUACGAGAGGACCGGGUUGGACGAACCUCUGGUCAACCAGUUGUUCCGCCAGGAGCAUCGCUGGGUAGCUACGUUCGGAAGGGAUAAACGCUGAAAGCAUAUAAGCGUCAAGCCCACUUCAAGACUAGAUAUCCCGUAGGGUUAACCUACCUAAAGGCCCCUCGUAGACUACGAGGUUGAUAGGUUGCAGGUGGAAGCGCAGCAAUGUGUGAAGCCGAGCAAUACUAAUUGGCCGUGAGGCUUGACCAUUUU
rnacentral:rRNA from 1 species